rnacentral:lncRNA from 1 species
UGCUUCUAUUCUAACGGUUGCCUUCUAAACGGCUAAUUCUGAUAGCGAUAAGGUUAUUGACCUUUCCUGCGCUCUAUUUUUUUUUCAAAGGUCUGUGAUGAGAAGCGUGAGUGUCGGAGACCUUUUCUUCUGACUUAUUUCUUCUUCCUUCAACAACUAACAAUCCGCGUCUAUACCAUCAGUUUACUAAUUUUUUUUCUUUUAUCUCUUGUUUGGUUUAUGAAUUCUUUUCUUCAUGGUGGAAAGAAGUUGCUAGUUUUCUUUAUAACACAAACAAAACUGAAAAAGGAUCAAUGAUGAUUUCGAGAAGGAGUAUAUGUCCAAAUAUAAAAAUUAUGUAUCAUAUUUGUGAAGAUUUAUACAAUGAACUGGACAAGAACUCUGCAACAUGCCACAAAUAUAUACAAAAGAAUCAGACUAAAUCAAUUGGAGUCCCAUCUUCGGUACCAACUUCAGAUCAAUUGGGUUAGCAAAACUGUAACCUUCAGCAACCAAUUUGAUACCCAUUUCAAUCCCUCACAUUUCUCUUUGCCGUUUUCUGCAAUUUAUAUUCUUUUGUGCUUUUUUUUUUUUCUAGUUUCUUAUUAGUUUAGAAGUUUCAAUUGCUAAUUACUUUUUUUGGCUUAUGGUUCUUUAGAAAAUUGGCUUCCCUCCCACUGCGGCUUGUCUCACCGUCUUUUUGCCAGUUUGAUACCCAUCGUCUUCUAUCCACUCCGCUUGUCUCAAGCGACAACGAUGGCAGUAGUGGCGACAACAUAGGUGUUACUUUUUUCAACAGCAGGUCGCUUCAUUUCUCCUCGCCUCCUCCUCCCCUUAAGUCUCCUCUCUCACACUACUCACGAACUUCCUCGUCAUCGCCGCCCCUUUCUUUAAACAAAUAUGUUGUUGAUGCUUAAAAACUCGGUGAUUCUUGUGCGUUGUCGGUGGUGGAAGACGUCUGGGUGUGCCGUCGUGUGCCAUGUUCUAAUCUCAUUUUUAGUUUUUGAUUUUUUUUUUUUUCUUUUCCCGUUUUGAUUAUUGAUUUUAACUUUAGUAUUUCUAAUUUUGUUAAUUUGAUUUAAUUAAUUAAGUCUAGUAUAAUUUCUUUUAAUUUUAAUAGAAUAUAUAUAUUUGAAUACUAUUGGUUCUAAUAUAUUGAUAUGGCAUGU